ensembl:lncRNA
CUGGAAUGGGUCACCUUUCCCUUCUCCAGGAGAUCUUCCCAACCCAGGGACUGAACCCAGGUUUCCUGCACUGCAGGUGGAUUCUUUACCAACUGAGCCAUUGUAGCUUACAGAGUGUAUGGAAUAUUAACACAGUUGCCGUAUCUCUGGCUCAUCCUCCUCCUUACGAAUUCUAUGCUAAAUGUCAGUUCGCUCCACUUCUAUUUUUGAAUCGAUCCUGUUAUCAUCAUUCCAGGUGUCAGUAUAAUAGUAUACUAGUUCAAAGUGUGAUAUGAAACAAAAGUGAAAGUUACUCAGUUGUGCCUAGCUCUUUGCAACCCCACAGACUAUACCCCACUGGCCUGUAAUUCACCAGGCCAGAAUACUAGAUUAGGUAGCUUUUCCCUUCCCCAGGGGAUUUUCCCAACACAGGGAUGGAACCCAGGUCUCCUGCAUUGCAGGCGGAUUCUUUACCAGCUGAGCCACCAGGAAACCCAUAUUGUGUUGUGUAUCAUUGCAUUUAGUUGUUCUGUUAUCUGCUUUCUAAAAAUAUGUGCUGAAUUUCCCAGGGCAAAUUCAAGAUAAGGAGGGCAUAGAACUUCGAGACUCAACUAGGCUUCUUUGUCAUAUAAACGAAACCUAGUAAUAUGAUGUCAAUGGGAGAAAUUUAUUGUAUAUUUUUAUGCUAAAAAUAGGAUAAAUCACAUUUGACUUCAUACCACCUUCUCUUUAAUCAUAAAAUUAUAGGUCCCUGAGUUUGCUAUAAACAAACAGCUAUUUUAAAAGUACAAAUAUUUGCAUCUCUGUUUCAGUUCAGUUCAGUUGCUCAGUUGUGCCUAGCUCCUUGCAAUUCCAUACCAGACUUCCCUGUCUAUCACCAACUCCCGGGGCUUACUUAAACUCAUGUCCCUCGUGUCCGUGAUGCCAUCCAACGAUCUCAUCCUCUGUCAUCCCCUUCUCCUCCUUUCUUCAAUCUUUCCCAACAUCAGGGUCUUUUCCAAAGAGUCAGUUCUUCACAUCAGGUGGCCAAAGUGUUAGAGUUUCAGCUUCAGCCUCAGUCCUUCCAAUGCGUAUUCAGGACUGAUCUCUUUUAGUAUUGACCGGUUGGAUCUCCUUGCAAUCCAAGGGACUCUUAAGCAUCUUCUCCAACACCACUGGUCAAAAGCAUCUAUUCUUGGAUGCUCAGCUAUCUUUAUAGUCCAACUGUCCCAUCCAUACAUGACUACUGGAAAAACCAUAGCUUUGACUAGAUGGACCUUUGUUGGCAAACUAACGUCUCUGCUUUUUAAUAUGCUGUCUAGAUUGGUCAUAGAUUUUCUUCCAAGGAGCAAGCAUGUUUUAAUUUCAAGGCUGCAGUCACCAUCUGCAGUGAUUUUGGAGCCCAAAAAUAAAGUCUGUCACUGUUUCCAUUUUUUCCCCAUCUAUUUGCCAUGAAGUGAUGGGACCAGAUGCCAUGAUCUUCAUUUUUUGAAUGCUGAGUUUUAAGCCAACUUUUUAACUUUUCUCUUUCACUUUCAAGAGGCUGCCUAUCUGAAGUUAUUGAUAUAUCUCCCAGCAAACUUGAUUCCAGCUUGGGCUUCAUCCAGCCCAGCAUUUUGCUUGAUGUACUCUGCAUAUAAAUUAAAUAGGCAGGGUGACAAUAUACAGAUUUGAUGUACUCCUUUCCCAAUUUGUAACCAGUUUGUUGUUCCAUAUCUGGUUCAGACUGUUGCUUCUUGACCUCCAUACAGAUUUCUCAGGAAAUAUGCACCUCUGUUUACAUAUCAAAAUUAAUUUGAAGUUAUGAUUAAAUAUGGAGAAUGGGCCAGAGGGGAAAUAUAUAUUGAAUGUAUUAUAAUAUUUUAAGUUAUUUUUUAUAUUUCAAACACAUAUGUGAAGUGGGUGACAUAUAGAUAAAGAUUAAUUCACUUUUCCUCUUUAUUUUUUCCUUAAUAAUCUUCUCCCUAAUUGCAUGAAGCAUCCAGUGCUUGGUAUGGAGGGGAUAAAUUAUCAAUUAACAGAUUAAUUUACUCCAUAAUAGUAUUGAAAGUAAUUUGUAUGUUAUUUUGUGUCAAGAACUAUCUCUGGGUAGUGUAUACAUUUGUGAAAGGUAUCAUUAAAGUUUUUCACAUUGGUGCUUACAUUUUAGUGAAAAGAGUACAAGGAAACAAAUUAUAUAAUGUGUAAGUCAUAUUUAAAAUAGAUGAUUGAUCAUCUUUUUAAUCAACUUAUAGAAAAUGAGAAAUGUGAUGUGGAAAAUUGGCUGAGAAGUGUGAAACAGGAAGUUCCUGUGUUGUAGAGCAAAGAGAAAAUAGUAUCUUGAAAUACUGAGAAACACAUUUAAGAGAAAAUCUUACCAAUAAAAGAACAUUUGAGAAACUUAAGAGCAAUGUGAAGGUAACCAUGAACAUAUUUGAAGAACAGCGUUUCAAACUGGAAACUGGGAUGCCUGUGUGCAUGCUAAGUUGCUUCUGUCGUGUCCACCUCUGUGUCCCCCCAUGGGCUGUAGACUGCCAGGAUCCUCUCCAUGGGAUUCUCCAGGCAAGAAUACUGCGGAGGGUGGCCAUGCCCUCCUCCAAGGGAUCUUCUCCACCCAGGAAUUGAACCCAUAUCUCCGGCAGCGUUACCCCUGAGCCACUGGGAAAGCCCAGUAAGAGGGAUACAAUAGACCAAAGUGUUCGAAGGAGGAAGAUUGAGACUAGAUUUUUGCUCAGUGUUCUGGGAGCUUGAGAAGAUGCUUGUACAAGAUGGACACCCCUGCAGCCCCAGGAGAAUGAUGAGGCUAAAGCAACAUGAUUAAUGGGGGAAGGGCCUGACUGAGCUGAGAAGAAUAGAUAUGUUUAUUAGCUGAAAGCAAAUCAACAAGAUAUAUAUAAAAAAAAAUAAACUCUGGGAAGCUAGACUCAACAUAUCUGAGCAGAUGCCAGUCAGCCCACAAGGCAACUUCACCACUGUUCUAUGACACUCUUUUUCCUCCCAACUCUACAUCACAUGAGUCCCUUCAAACUUAAAUACAAGCCCAGAGAGAGCUAUGAAAGAGUGAACAGUAUUUCAAAGACCCUGAUAUACAUUUUCUCAAACUGCUUAAAUUUUUAGACCUGGCCAAAUUUUAAACUGGAGAUGGGGUUUUGCAUGACAAAAGUCACAUCAGUUCUGAACACAGAGGCAUGUAAUACUGCAAAUAUAAUCCAUGCUUGCAAUUCAUGGUACUAUGAAAAGAAUACCUAUGACAUAACUUCUUAUCACGGGGGGGUCCUUGGCUAAAACUAAUCUUAAGUAAUAUAUAAUAGUUGAAUGUUUAAUAAGUGCCCUUGGUGAAAAUAUAGGUAGAUAAAAUGUAAAAUAUGUACUUUUUAUAGUAUUCGGGUACAAGGUCUUUUCAAACUUAUUUACUAUAUGCCUUAGUAAUGGAAUUACCUUAUGAGAUGCCUCAAAGAAGAGUUAUAUCCUUGGAUCUCACAAAUAUAUAGUUCUUAGUAGAUCAGAGCAAGGUGAUAAUAUAGGAAAUAUUAUAAUUUAUAUUUAUAAUAAAUUUGAGGGACCUAAAUGAUUAGUUUAUAAUCAGGACACAGAAUAACUCCUUCCAACUCUUUAAAAGUCUCAGUGUUUAGCUUUGGUACUUAGAGUGGCAAACCAUAUGAGCUGCUUGACUAAUUUCCACUAAUGUCAUGCUCUGGCUUCUGUAGAGACUUCACAGUACCCAAGUGAUAAAGUUGUCAUCAAAACACUUUAAGCAGUUCUAGUGGCCUGGCCGUGAUGUCCAGUGUUUCACAUUCAGUGGUCAAUACCCUCUGUCAACAUUUCUUGAUAAUAUUCCUGUUAUCUCUGUGUGUAGGGUUUUUGUGUAUGUGUGUUUGUGCUUAGUUGUGUCGAACUCUUUGCAACUCCAUGGACUGUACCCACCAGACUCCUCUGUAUAUGGAAUUUUCCAUGCAAGAAUAUUGGAGUGGGUUGCUAUUUCCUACUCCAGGGGAUCUUCCAAGCUCAAGGAAUGAACCCACAUCUCCUGUGUCUCCUGCAUUGCAGGCUGAUUCUUUAUCUGCUGAGCCAUCUGGGAAGCCUCUUUAUUUGUAGACUCAGGCAAACUGAGUUUCAUCGAUUUUUUUUUUUUUUUUUUGAGAAUUGACUUACUUUGAAAGUGAAAGUUUCAGUUACUUGGUUGUGUCCAACUUUUUGCAACCCAUGGACUGUUGCCCACCAGACUUCACUCUGCAUGGGAUUCUCCAGGCAAGAAUAUUGGAGUGGGUAGCCAGUCCUUUCUUGAGGGUAUCUCCUUGACCCAGGAAUCGAACCAACCCUGCUCUCCUGCACUGUAGUGGUGCUAAUGGUAAAGUAUCCACCUGCUAAUUCAGAGAGAGAUGGGUUUGAUCCCUGGGUUGGAAAGAUCCCCUGGAUUAGGAAAGGGCAACCAACUCUAGUAUUCUUGCUUGGAAAAUUCCACAGAGGAACCUGGUGAGCUGAUCACAGAGAGCUGGACAUGACUGAGUGACUAAGCAUAGCACAGUGAUGUCCUUUAUGGCUUUUUGUCUUAUUCUGAUUGUACCCUUGAGAUUUCUGCAUCUUCUGAUCCUACAGCCUUACUUGGUGUGGCCUGCUCUUCUCAAUUCCUUGUAAGAGCACCCUUAGCAGGCACAGCUAUCUCACAAAUCUUACUUCUUAUAGCUAAUCAUGCUGCUGGAAUAAUGGGGGAGAUGUAGAUGAUUUAGGUCUGAUAUAAAUUUGUCUUUAAGCCUUCUUGGAUUCUUGUGCCAUUUUAUUCUCAUGCAAAUGGAGACAUGCUUGUGGUUCAUGGAUUAAAUAAAAAAAAAAAAAGAAAAAGUCAUACACAUUCCAAACUACCAAGAAAGGAUUAUAAUAAUGUGGCAUAGGCCAAAAUAAAUAUACAUUGUUUCAACACUUUUCCCAGAGCAUGCAAUUCAAAGUCAAAGCC